GCCUCGGUUGCUUCUCCGUCAAAUAGAGAGGGCGCCCCAUGGCCCUUGAGGGCCCUCCCCGUCUAUGGUUCUGGGACCGCACAUGCGAGCAUCCCUUGGGUGCUGAGGGGGCUGGAGGAAAGGGGGCGGGACUGCUGCCAAGCAGCCAAUCAGGGGAGUCCGUGAGAGCCGCGCUGCCUGCCCCUAGCGGUCAAGGCCAGGAGCAGACACGCGAGGCUCGGGAGGCGUGACCUUGGAGGAGGCGUGCUCAUUCUCCGGAAGACCCCGGGAGGGGCGGCAUGGAGGGGAGCAGCUCUCAGGGAGACCUGGCCAAAACAACCUACCAAAGCAAAGACAGCCCUGCAACUCCAGAGGCAGAAUAAGGAAGAGGAAGUGUUACCUGGAACAUGGUCACAGCCUCCACAGGCAGUGACUCCCAUCACAGAGCAUCAGUCCAACGACAGUGAAACCAGUGAUGCGCCCAAAGAAGUGGAUGGAUGUGCAGCAAAUCAAGCAGCUUUAGGAAGAGAGACACUAGAGGAACCGGCCUUUCAGCAAGAGAAGCCUGAGGUCCCCUGUGACCCCAGAUACCAGCAGAUUGGGGAGACCAUGCUGGAGGAAUUGAGAAACCUGUCCCGAACCCAGCAGGAGAUGUCUGUGGUCAGCAUGUACAUUGCCAAAGCCCUCCAGUACCAGCAAGAACAGCUGAUCCCGGGCAUCCAUCUUCUAAAUCACAACAUGUACCAGCUCUGCCUGCUAUUGGCCAACCAGACGGAGGCCUCCCUCCACUCCGGGCCCUUUCUCCCCGAGAUGAUCAAUCCCAGCAUUGUCUUCUCUGGAUCUCCAGUUCCACAGCCUUAUCCUUCAGACUUUGAGCCUUCCGGUGGUGCCCACCCCAAGUAGGCUUCAGUUCUCUGAGAUGCAGCUCACAUUACCUUGGUUUCUUGGAAUGCAUUCUGUCUAAGUAAAUUUCAUGUGUUCCCCCUGUUUGGAAGGUUUGAGAUAAAGAUUUGGAUUCUAUCCCUCAGACUCUGCCUCUUUCA
rnacentral:lncRNA from 1 species